CGGAGGUGAUGUCACAACUCCAUCCCGACCCAUCCUGGGGGGCAAAGACUGAUUUAAUGAGGCUGAUCC
rfam:Cuculus canorus isolate BGI_N303 unplaced genomic scaffold scaffold253, whole genome shotgun sequence.